rnacentral:lncRNA from 1 species
GCAGUGUGUGCGGUCGUCACGGCCAGGAAAGGCCGAGAGAGAUAGCAACGCUUCAGAGCUGACCCGAGCCUCUGUUUUCACCACAGUGUGCCGUUUCUACGAGAUGGCAAACAGGCGAAGUUAAACAGCACUAUUAAUUAGGCUAAUAUGAAUAUGAGCACUGCCAGGGAAAUUCAAUUCUCUCAGCCCUAAUCACAACUGGAUAGCUUGUAAAAAAUUAUUUUGUUAGGCCCUGGUGCAAACAGCGCGGCCUUUUCCAAACAUUUGAGAACUAUUUGUUUUGCAUGGCGAUUAGCGUUUGCUGGUAGCGAGCGGCGGAGCAGCCAUAGGCUCCCGCGGGAACGGCUGACUCAGGGUGAGUGUGAGUGAACGCGGGCCGCUGCUGUUGUUUAUGGAGGUCUGUGUGUUUGAGCAGGUGGCGAGGAUUAGCGGUGCUGUCAACACUGAACGCUGGAUAAAGCUUCUGCUCACCCUUUCCUCAGUCUGCUCAUUAGAGCUCAUCAUUUUACCAUUUCACUCUCACACACGCAUCUGAAGAGAUGUAGUGGCAGCCCUGUCUCCUGUUGUGAAGCAGAUGUUGCCCUCUGUUUUUACCCACCUCUGCACCCUUUAUCCCAUGCCAAGUCCCAAGAAGCAAUGGUGCCAUGCUAAGUGAGGGACACAAUGGAUAUGUAAAAAUCCAGCAGAAUGCAGGUUUGACAGUGUGUCCUUUCUAAUUCCCACUCUCCAUCACUUAACCUCCUGGUCAGACAGAGGAACAGAGGGUGCUGGGAAAGAAGGGGUGAGUGAGGGACUGGGAGAAGGGGCCACUGGUCGCCAGACGCCCAGAGUCUUGACACUCCUUCAACUUGAACCCCCCUCUUGCCAAGUCUGUGUUUACCCGCACCAAACAAUAGGCCUGCUAUUGGCAAUUAAAUGGCAUUUGGAGAUCCCUGGUGCAAGUUAAUGGUAUUACUGUUGUGAUUCUUUCUCUGAAUGGUGUGAGGGAUUUCUUUCUGCACCAAUAAAACACAGCUCACCGUCUUACCAGCAUUACAUAGCUUACCUAAGGCUUAUGAUUCACGGCUGCGUGAUUACCGUUUGACUGUUUCUU